rnacentral:rRNA from 1 species
UACGAAGGGGGCUAGCGUUGCUCGGAAUCACUGGGCGUAAAGCGCACGUAGGCGGCUCCUCAAGUCAGGGGUGAAAUCCUGGGGCUCAACCCCGGAACUGCCUUUGAUACUGAGGAGCUCGAGUCCGGGAGAGGUGAGUGGAAUUCCUAGUGUAGAGGUGAAAUUCGUAGAUAUUAGGAAGAACACCAGUGGCGAAGGCGGCUCACUGGCCCGGUACUGACGCUGAGGCGCGAAAGCGUGGGGAGCAAACAGG